rnacentral:rRNA from 1 species
GAUAGGACCACACACUUCAUGGUGAGUGGUGCAAAGCUUUUGCGGUGUGGGAUGAGCCCGCGGCCUAUCAGCUUGUUGGUGGGGUAAUGGCCCACCAAGGCGACGACGGGUAGCCGGCCUGAGAGGGUGACCGGCCACACUGGGACUGAGAUACGGCCCAGACUCCUACGGGAGGCAGCAGUGGGGAAUAUUGCACAAUGGGCGCAAGCCUGAUGCAGCGACGCCGCGUGAGGGAUGACGGCCUUCGGGUUGUAAACCUCUUUCAGUAGGGACGAAGCGAAAGUGACGGUACCUACAGAAGAAGGACCGGCCAACUACGUGCCAGCAGCCGCGGUAAUACGUAGGGUCCGAGCGUUGUCCGGAAUUACUGGGCGUAAAGAGCUCGUAGGUGGUUUGUCGCGUUGUUCGUGAAAACUCACAGCUUAACUGUGGGCGUGCGGGCGAUACGGGCAGACUAGAGUACUGCAGGGGAGACUGGAAUUCCUGGUGUAGCGGUGGAAUGCGCAGAUAUCAGGAGGAACACCGGUGGCGAAGGCGGGUCUCUGGGCAGUAACUGACGCUGAGGAGCGAAAGCGUGGGUAGCGAACAGGAUUAGAUACCCUGGUAGUCCACGCCGUAAACGGUGGGUACUAGGUGUGGGUUUCCUUCCUUGGGAUCCGUGCCGUAGCUAACGCAUUAAGUACCCCGCCUGGGGAGUACGGUCGCAAGACUAAAACUCAAA